rnacentral:tRNA from 1 species
GCCGAGGUAGCCUAAUUGGUUAAGGCGCCCACCUGAAAAGUGGGUUGGGUACCAACCAAUACCCUUAUGGGUUCGAGGUUAUGGGGGUUAACGAAAUUCCCAUCCUCGGCG